rnacentral:lncRNA from 1 species
GACAAUACUCAAAUUAUGAAUACUGAAAUUAUAAAUGCAUCCUUUGUGUGAUUGGGAGACAAGACUCUUUGCAACUUAACCCCCUCUCUGUGAAAAACAGUCUCAACAGUAUCUGAGAUGCACAUGAUCUCCAGUGAUGCCACUUUCCACACUUGAAGGGAUUUCCUCGAAGAUACAUCCUUCUCCCCACUGCACUUGCCAUCCACCCACUGGCUUCACUACCACGAGGAUCUGACUGUGUGGGCCAGCUCUUGGGCCAGGAAUCUUCUUUUGCAACUCUCUCUGCAAGUGAUUACAACGCUGAUCUCCAACCUCAAGUGAUCCUCCUCAAGUGGAUCCUCCGCCUUGGCCUCCCAAAGUGCUGUGAUUACAGAUGUGAGUCAUCAAAACAAGCCAUGGCUAUUGUUCUUUAAGGAAUGGCACCUGAACUGCAAAACUACUGAGAUAUAUUUUUUUAAAAAAGUUGGAGAUAUAGCCAGGAGAAUGAUUAAAUGGCUUUAGCAUAGAAUCUAAGAAAUAUAGGAAGUGAUAUACAGGCAGAAAGGCCAAAGGCCUAAAAAUACCAAUAAUGUCAAUGAAAAAGGGUCAGUCAUAAUGAGAGCCAAAAGGAGUGAGAUUAUGUCAGAAAGUGGAGCGUUUACUUCCAUUUCAAAGGUAAAUUUACUCCAGUGGAGACGAGGCCCAGGAUGUGGCAAGGCAACAGAUGACCAAUGUGGCAUGGAGGUAAAGGUCUGUAGAUGAAGAGAUUAAGACCUGAGAGGCUGGAGUGCCACAUAGAGAUCCCAAGUCAGCCAUAAUGAUGGCUGGUGCUGGGGAAAUGACAUGGGUCAUGAUUCAAAGAAGAAAAUCAUUGCCUGAGGAGAGGACAUCAGAAGAUGA